AGAGUUUGAUCAUGGCUCAGGAUGAACGCUGGCGGUCUGCUUAACACAUGCAAGUCGAGCGGAGUGCUUCGGCACUUAGCGGCGGACGGGUGAGUAACGCGUGAGGAUCUGCCCUCAGGAUGGGGACAACAGUUGGAAACGACUGCUAAUACCCGAUGUGCCGAGAGGUGAAACUAUUUGGCCUGAGGAUGAGCUCGCGUCUGAUUAGCUAGUUGGAGUGGUAAUGGCACACCAAGGCGACGAUCAGUAGCUGGUCUGAGAGGAUGAUCAGCCACACUGGGACUGAGACACGGCCCAGACUCCUACGGGAGGCAGCAGUGGGGAAUUUUCCGCAAUGGGCGAAAGCCUGACGGAGCAAGACCGCGUGGGGGACGAAGGUUUGUGGAUUGUAAACCCCUUUUGAUUGGGAAGAAGUUCUGACGGUACCAAUCGAAUCAGCAUCGGCUAACUCCGUGCCAGCCGCCGCGGUAAUAC
rnacentral:rRNA from 1 species